AGAGUUUGAUCCUGGCUCAGAUUGAACGCUGGCGGCAUGCCUUACACAUGCAAGUCGAACGGCAGCACGGGAGCUUGCUCCUGGUGGCGAGUGGCGAACGGGUGAGUAAUACAUCGGAACGUACCCUGAAGUGGGGGAUAACGUAGCGAAAGUUACGCUAAUACCGCAUAUUCUGUGAGCAGGAAAGAGGGGGAUCGCAAGACCUCUUGCUUUAGGAGCGGCCGAUGUCGGAUUAGCUAGUUGGUGAGGUAAAGGCUCACCAAGGCGACGAUCCGUAGCGGGUCUGAGAGGAUGAUCCGCCACACUGGAACUGAGACACGGUCCAGACUCCUACGGGAGGCAGCAGUGGGGAAUUUUGGACAAUGGGCGCAAGCCUGAUCCAGCCAUGCCGCGUGAGUGAAGAAGGCCUUCGGGUUGUAAAGCUCUUUCGGCCGGGAAGAAAUCGCAUGGGUUAAUACCCUGUGUGGAUGACGGUACCGGAAUAAGAAGCACCGGCUAACUACGUG
rnacentral:rRNA from 1 species